rnacentral:lncRNA from 1 species
UCUUCCCGUGUCUGAGACAGACAGACAGACUGUAGACAGACAGAUGGAAAAGGACAAAUGGGGCCUGGUAGCCCUUGCCAGGUGUCCGUCAUUCCUCCUCUCUCAACAUUGAUGGUGAUGCUGGUCUAGCCCCAGGGAGAGGGUCGUAGGUGGAGGGAAGCCUCCUUGGACAGCAGUAAGGAGCUACAGUUUCCCCUUAGGGGCCUAAUUUCCCCCAGAACUCCACUCCCAGUCCCCAAGACCCGCAUUUCCAGACUAGGGCCAGGGAACGGGCCUCUCAUCCAGGUCCCUCCUCCCUGCCUGGCCAGGGGCGGAGACUCAAGGCGCCAGGCUGGCCUGCAGGUGCGGGGCUUGGGAGGGGGGGUGCUCAGCAGCUGGCGUUCGAGGGGCCCCCUUACCCCUCCCCCUUCCUGUUCCUAGCCAGAGCCUGCUUCCUGUCAUCCCUGUCAGCACCCCAGGCGGGGGAGGGGACAGGUAGUGGAGGAAGCGGAAAGAGGGACUGAGCAGUGGGAGUGCGGGUGGCGGUGGGAUGGGAAAAGCGUGGAGGAGAAAUGUGGAAGGGAGGAGGAGAGCAGAAAACACAAGCAGGACAGAAGGAUAGACAGAGGGUGCAGCCCAAAGGGAUGGGAGACACAGGGAAGAUUUCAGAACGGGGAGGGGGGGAGCUGCAGCCCUCCCAUCAUCCCCCUGUGAAAGCCAGAGCUAGAGAGAGGGCAGAGACAACCGGAGAGAAACCAGAGGAAAUGGACAGAGGCAGAGACACAGAGGCAACGUGACAUAACAAGAGAUGCACAAUUCAGAGAGAUGGAGAGAUUCCAAGGUGCCAGGUCAAAGGUCAGGGUAUCGAGAGGUGGAAGGCACAGUGUCUGUGGAGCUGGAGAAACAGACAGCUGUGGCAGCUGACCGACCCCCUGCCCACCUGCUGGUUGUGACUCAGCCUUGGAACCUCUGGACGCAGAGGGUACCCAGGGUCUAUGUGAGAGUCAGGGGACCUGGGAGUGGAGGCACCAGUGGGGGGGGAGGGGGCCUCAUACCCAGGUGCUAAUCCCCAUCCGGCCAAGGCAGAACCAGAGCCUCACUGACCUUCUUAGAGAUUAGUCCCCAUGGCGACCUUGGCAACUCGCCCCCUCACUCUGGCUAGGUGUGGGGGGUGGUGUGCAGAGGCCGGGUGGGGCGGGGAGAGAGCCUUCCUGAGGCAUCACAGGAUCACAGCAGUCAGGGUUGGGAGGGCCCUUCCAGGGUCAGCAGUUAGUACAAAACUGGAGCCUCAAGAGAGGGAAUGACCUGCCCAAGGGCACCUAUAGAGCCAGAAAAGCCUCAGACCCGAAGUCAGGUCCCCAGUUCCACUCUCAAGUGUUCUUUCCCGAAGAGCAGAGGCCUGAACAAGAACAAAGGACAUUAAGAUACACCCCCUCAGACCCUCCCCACUCAUGAUCUCCUAAACUGAGAUCAAGGGCAGAGCAACUUGAAUGGGGUGAAGCAGGAAGCCUCUCCCUCCUGAGUACUAGGCUGGCUUCCACAAGGCCAAUGUGGAAAAGGGGAUGCAGAUCCCAGAGCUCUGCCUGCUGCCCUGACUCCUCCCUCCAGCCCAGCCCAGCCCAGCCUGCGGGUGUGGGGGGCGGGGGAAACCAUGCCGCAAAGCCAGUUAUAACCACAACCACAAUGACAGAGCAGCUAACAUUUAUUGGGUGCGUAUGGCACGCCAGUUCUGUGCUUUACAUGCACCUAAAUCUUCACCACAUUUUUUAAGACUAUUGUCCCCAUUUUACAGAGGGAAAAACUGAGAAGUAGAGUGCAGCUUAUACGCAGGGGAGCUUGGAUUUGAACCCAGGCUUUAGCGCAAGACUCCAGAGCACUCUUAACCCUUCAGUGUCUGUAUGAUCAGGGGCGGGUGACUGAGACACCUUCUCUCCUCCUCUCCGUGGCCGUGGAAUGGGAUAUGUGCAUGUGUAAGCGAAGGGCAUACUUGUGUGUGACUCCAACACCCAGCACAGAGUGGCACACAGCACAUUGUAUUAAACGUUUGAGGAAUAAGCGAGUGAACA